rnacentral:rRNA from 1 species
CCUACGGGCGGCAGCAGUGAGGAAUAUUGGUCAAUGGGCGAGAGCCUGAACCAGCCAAGUCGCGUGAGGGAGUACUGCCCUAUGGGUUGUAAACCUCUUUUGUCGGGGAGCAAAAGCUGGACGUGUCCGGCUGUGAGAGUACCCGAAGAAAAAGCAUCGGCUAACUCCGUGCCAGCAGCCGCGGUAAUACGGAGGAUGCGAGCGUUAUCCGGCUUUAUUGGGUUUAAAGGGUGCGCAGGCGGAUUUUUAAGUCUGCGGUAAAAUCGUGGGGCUCAACCCCAUCCAGCCGUUGAAACUGGGGAUCUAGAGUGUGCGAGAGGUAUGCGGAAUGCGUGGUGUAGCGGUGAAAUGCAUAGAUAUCACGCAGAACCCCGAUUGCGAAGGCAGCAUACCGGUGCACAACUGACGCUCAGGCACGAAAGCGUGGGUAUCGAACAGGAUUAGAUACCCUGGUAGUC